AAACAGCUUUUUCAUCUGCAUAAAUGAUUUGCUUGUUUAAAAUACAAAUGCUUUUCAUUAUCCAGAAUCAUUAUGCAGGGACUUCUAAACCCAUUGAACAUAAUGAUCCAGCGCCAUCUCCCAAUCUUGAAGUCUUUGUAUCUGAGGCAGAGGAAGAUGAUGUUGAAGGGGAUUCCUGAUGAGAUUACCCGCCUUCUUGAGCACGAGAGAAGCUCAUUCAGCUGUAUCACGAGAAUCAGCAAACCAGUCAAACUGGGGAUUACAAAAAAAAAAAAAAAAAAAAAAAAAAAAAAAAA
rnacentral:lncRNA from 1 species